rnacentral:lncRNA from 1 species
AAUAAAAUAAAAUAAAAUAUUUUAAAAUCAUAAGUAAAUUCUAACCAAAUCCUAAUGUAAUCCUAAAAGAAUCCUAAAUUUUUUUUAAUGAAAUCCUAAAUAAAUCUUAAGUAAAUCCAAUGUAAAUUCCAACCAAUUUUCAAUAGUAAUUUUAAAAUCCUAACAACUAUUAAUUGAACCUUUGAUUUUGACUCAAAUAUAUGCCUCAUUUCAAUCUUAAAAUAAGC